GGCAGCGGGGCCGGGCGAGGCCGCUGAACCCCGAGCUCGGCCAGAGCCGCCCCCUCAGAGCCGCUGCCCGAGUGGGGCACCGACCCAAGUCCAAACGAGUUCUGCCUACCCGGGGAUCCCCCGUGCUGGGGAGACGGGAGAAAAGGCCGCCCGAGGGGAAGUCACUCCCGCGAGGGCAUGGCUGUUGCAAGGGAAUGAAUCCAGCGCAACUGGCAGCGCAACUGUGGCGGCUGGCGACAAACAGCGCCCAGCUUGGGCGAGGGCACCAAAACGCAGAGCCCAAGGCCGACGGUGAAAAACUGGCCAUGGGUUAAUUUAUUUAGGCCUUCGAAAAUUGGUUCCAAGCAGCGACAAGCACCCAGCCAAACAAGGUGACCAAAAUCCAGAGCCCAAGGCCAAAGUUCGCCAUUUCAGGCGACGGAAAAGAUUUUUUAAAAAUGUUGUCAUUCCAAAAAUAAGCUUGUUAAGGAGUACUGUGCUAUUACGAGCACAACUAGGAUGCCUGAAGCAAUAGCUAUACAGGACUCAUUUGGCUGCCUGCCUAAUGGUCAGCAAAUCCCCAGGCGUUGUAUCUACACUAGGGAAUAAAAGGAGAAGCUUCACUACUAACAGAAGAUAAGAGGCUUUGUAUAAAGGAAAAUUUGGAUAUGAAUACAGUGAUGAAUCUGGCAGAGUUUUUCGAACUCUAAAUACCAUUGCCUAAAACUUCACCUGUGCUCAAAGCCUUGUUUUUUCAACCUUCAAAUCAGAAUCCAACAACAUUUCUUCAGAAAGUAGGUGGCAAGAAAGACCCCAUGAUGGGAUGGGACUCCUUGCUGGCAAGCAGCUGACCAAAGCAAAACUCCUAUGCAGACCAUUUAAAAAAAUCUGCUGGUUUGCUCCCAGCCAAUGAGACAGUAUUACAAGGGAGCCAAAUGGACCUGUAAGAAGUCACUGCUGCAUAAUUAAGUGGGCUGUUUUUAUUUUGGAUUUAAUUUACAUCUCUUGCAAACCACUGUCUUUCCUCUGUUGUCUCUCAAACUGCAGAAUGAACAGUACCCAUCUCAUCAAAAUAAUUAUGAUAAAAUAACAGUAGAAUUUUAAAAAGAAUGUGACCACAAAUAACUUUGAGAAUUACUCUCAAGCCAUGUAAAACAAUGUUGUGCAAAGCACAAGUAACCAAAGACACCCUAGAAAUAACUGGAUAGUCAACAGGGGGAAGCUCUUAACUCACCUUUCCACAGCACUGUGCUGGUUCUCUCUCCAUGCCUGGGAGACCACUGCUGAUUAAAAUCCAGGCCCUGGCUCUGUCAUUGUUUGUCGUGGUAAGAAUACAGCCAGGGACCAUCUGUUGAACAGUUACUUGCAGGACAAUAUGUGGUAUAAUAUUCUAGUCAAGCCCAAAUAAACAACUGCAAUUUUUAAA